UACGGAGGGGGCUAGCGUUGUUCGGAAUUACUGGGCGUAAAGCGCGCGUAGGCGGACUGGUCAGUUGGGGGUGAAAUCCCGGGGCUUAACCUCGGAACUGCCUUCAAUACUGCCAGUCUUGAGUUCGAGAGAGGUAAGCGGAAUUCCUAGUGUAGAGGUGAAAUUCGUAGAUAUUAGGAAGAACACCGGUGGCGAAGGCGGCUUACUGGCUCGAUACUGACGCUGAGGCGCGAAAGCGUGGGGAGCAAACAGG
rnacentral:misc_RNA from 1 species